rnacentral:rRNA from 1 species
GGAAGGGGUGUAUUUAUUAGAUAAAAAACCAAUGCCCUUCGGGGCUCUUUGGUGAUUCAUGAUAACUUAACGGAUCGCAUGGCCUUGCGCCGGCGACGGUUCAUUCAAAUUUCUGCCCUAUCAACUUUCGAUGGUAAGGUAUUGGCUUACCAUGGUUUCAACGGGUAACGGGGAAUUAGGGUUCGAUUCCGGAGAGGGAGCCUGAGAAACGGCUACCACAUCCAAGGAAGGCAGCAGGCGCGCAAAUUACCCAAUCCCGACACGGGGAGGUAGUGACAAUAAAUACUGAUACAGGGCUCUUUUGGGUCUUGUAAUCGGAAUGAGUACAAUUUAAACCCCUUAACGAGGAACAAUUGGAGGGCAAGUCUGGUGCCAGCAGCCGCGGUAAUUCCAGCUCCAAUAGCGUAUAUUAAAGUUGUUGCAGUUAAAAAGCUCGUAGUUGAACCUUGGGCCUGGCUGGCCGGUCCGCCUCACCGCGUGUACUGGUCCGGCCGGGCCUUUCCUUCUGGAGAUUCCCAUGCCCUUUACUGGGUGUGCGGGGGAACCAGGACUUUUAC